CUUGUACAGGUGCUGCAUGGCUGUCGUCAGCUCGUGUCGUGAGAUGUUCGGUUAAGUCCGCUAACGAGCGCAACCCUCGCUGUGUGUUACAAGUGUCACACGGAACUGCCGGUCAUAAACCGGAGGAAGGUGGGGAUGACGUCAAGUCGGCAUGGCCUUUAUAUCCUGGGCUACACACACGCUACAAUGGGAAGGGACAAUAGGUUGCGAAGCCGCGAGGCGGAGCCAAUCCAGCAAAACUUCCCUCAGUUCAGAUUGCAGGCUGCAACCCGCCUGCAUGAAGUUGGAGUUGCUAGUAAACGCAGGUCAGCCAUACUGCGUUGAGUACGUUCCCGGGGCUU
rnacentral:rRNA from 1 species